ensembl:lncRNA
AAUUUUUUAGGGGAAUUUUUGGGAUUUUUGGGGGUUUUGGAGGAUUUUUUGGGGUUUUUGGGAGGAUUUUGGGGGGAUUUGGGGUUUUUUGGGGGGAUUUUGGGGGGAUUUUUGGGUGAUUUUGGAGGAAUUUUGGGGGUUUUUGGAAGGAUUUUGGGGGAUUUGGGGGUUUUAGGGGAGAUUUUGGGGAGAUUUGGGGGAUUUUGAGGGGAUUUUGGAGGUUUUUGGGGAAUUUUGGGGAUUUUUUGGGAUUUUGGGGGGGAUUUGGGGAUUUUGAAGGGGAUUUUUGCGGGAAUUUUGGAUUUUUGGGGGGAAUUUGGGGAAUUUUGGGGGGAUUUUGGGGGGGGAGAGAAAAUUUGGGGAUUUUGGGGAAUUUUGGAGGAAUUUUGGGGUUUUUUAGGGGAUUUUUCCGGGAUUUUUCAGGGGAUUUUGGGGGGAUUUGGGGGAUUUUGGGGGGAAUUUUGGUUUUUUGGGGAAUUUUGGGAUUUUUUUGGGAAUUUUGGGAUUUUUUAGGGAUUUUUUUUGGUUUUUCUGAGAAUUUUGGAAUUUUCUGGGAUUUUUCUGGGAAUUUUUUGAUUUUUCGGGGAAUUUUGGGAUUUUUUGGGGCAGAUUUUUGGCAUUUCCCCCUCCCCCACCCCGGGGGGGCCGCUCAGGGUGGGGGAGGGGCCGCGGCCCCGCCCCUCCCCCGCCCCCGCCCCUCCCCCGCCCCUCCCCCCCCUCCUCCAGCCCAGCCCGGGACGGACCCGCGGCUCCCAGUUCCGACCAGUUCGGACCAGUUCGGACCAGUUUGGACCAGUUCAGACCAGUUUGGACCCCCCCAGGACCGGCCAGGAGCCCCCCGGACCCUCCCAGUUCAGACCAGUUUGGACCAGUUUGGACCAGUGACCUCCGAGGACCCUCCCAGUUCAUCCCAGUUUGGACCAGUUUGGACCAGCUCAUCCCGGUGGGCAUUGAGGACUCUCCCAGUUCGGACCAGUUCAUCCCAGUUUGGACCAGUUCAUCCCAGUUCAGACCAGUUUGGACCAGUUUGGACCACUGAUCUCUGAGGACCAUCCCAGUUUGGACCAGUUCAGACCAGUUCGGACCAGUUUGGACCAGUUUGAACCAGUUUGGACCAGUUUGGACCCACCCCAGGACCGGCCAGGAGACCCCCGGACCCUCCCAGUUCAUCCCAGUUUGGACCAGUUCACACCAGUUUGGACCAGUUCAUCCCAGUUUGGACCAGUGACCUCCAAGGACCUUCCCAGUUCAUCCCAGUUUGGACCAGUUCAGACCAGUUUGGACCAGCUCAUCCCGGUGGGCAUCGAGGACUCUCCCAGUUCGGACCAGUUUGGACCAGUUUGGACCAGUUUGGACCAGUUUGGACCCCCCAGCACUGGCAAGGAACCCCCCGGACCCUCCCAGUUCAUCCCAGUUUGUCCCAGUCCCUCCCAGUCCCCUCCCAGUCCCCUCCCAGUACAAACCAGUAACCCCAAACCCCCUUUUUACCUCUCCCAGUCCCUCCCAGUCCCUCCCAGUUUAUCCCAGUUCCCUCCCAGUCCAUCCCAGUCCCCUCCAAUCCCCUCCCAGUCCCUCCCAGUAUAAACCAGUAACUCCAAACCCCCUUUUCACCCCUCCCAGUCCCUCCCAAACCCCUCCCAGUACAAACCAGUAACCCCAAACCUCUUCCCAGUCCCUCCCAAUCCCCUCCCAGUACAAACCAGUAUAAACCAGUAACCCCAAACCCCCUCCCAGUCCCUCCCAGUCCCCUCCAAUCCCCUCCCAGUCCCCUCCCAGUAUAAACCAGUAACCCCAAACCCUCUCCCAGUCCCUCCCAGUACAAACCAGUCCCUCCCAGUUCCUCCCAGUCCCUCCCAGUUUGUCCCAGUCCCCUCCCAGUACAAACCAGUAACCCCAAACCCCGUUUUUACUCCCCCCAAUUUAUCCCAGUCCCUCCCAGUUCCCUCCCAGUCCCUCCCAGUUUGUCCCAGUCCCACCCAAUCCCUCCCAAACCCCUCCCAGUAUAAACCAGUAACCCCAAACCUCUUCCCAGUUCCUCCCAGUUUGUCCCAGUCCCUCCCAGUACAAACCAGUAACCCCAAACCCCCUUUUUACCCCUCCCAGUCCCUCCCAGUCCCUCCCAGUUUGUCCCAGUCCCCUCCCAGUCCAUCCCAGUCCCCUCCAAUCCCCUCCCAGCCCCUCCCAGUACAAACCAGUAACCCCAAACCCCCUU